AGUUCUACGGAGGUGUUGUACGUCUAGUUCUACGGAGGUGUUGUACGUCUAGUUCUACGGAGGUGUUGUACGUCUAGAUCUACGGAGGUGUUGUACGUCUAGUUCUACGGAGGUGUUGUACGUCUAGUUCUACGGAGGUGUUGUACGUCUAGUUCUACGGAGGUGUUGUACGUCUAGUUCUACGGAGGUGUUGUACGUCUAGUUCUACGGAGGUGUUGUACGUCUAGUUCUACGGAGGUGUUGUACGUCUAGUUCUACGGAGGUGUUGUACGUCUAGUUCUACGGAGGUGUUGUACGUCUAGUUCUACGGAGGUGUUGUACGUCUAGUUCUACGGAGGUGUUGUACGUCUAGUUCUACGGAGGUGUUGUACGUCUAGUUCUACGGAGGUGUUGUACGUCUAGUUCUACGGAGGUGUUGUACGUCUAGUUCUACGGAGGUGUUGUACGUCUAGUUCUACGGAGGUGUUGUACGUCUAGUUCUACGGAGGUGUUGUACGUCUAGUUCUACGGAGGUGUUGUACGUCUAGUUCUACGGAGGUGUUGUACGUCUAGUUCUACGGAGGUGUUGUACGUCUAGUUCUACGGAGGUGUUGUACGUCUAGUUCUACGGAGGUGUUCUACAUCUAGAUCUAGAGGGAAAAGGAGAGCGUGUGGUGGGC